UUGUUCUCUCGGCAGGCAUCCUCAUUUGGGAAGUGCUUUUUGAGUAAUUUUCCUCCAGAGCAGUUUGUCAGCAUGUGUAGAGACCUGCGGGUGUUGAAUGCAGUCCGAGAUUAUACUGUCGGCAUUCCACUUUCCCACACUCAGUUCUUCCCCCUGACAGAAGUCCUAUAAAGGUUCAACAAAUUAUGGUGGCUCCAUUUUCACCAAUGGGUGGGGUUUGAAGGCAUGACAUCUUUGCCUUCCACUUUCUUUUCUUAAUACUCUUGUUAUUUUUAGUAACAUGAUUUUGCUAGUUGCUUUGGUAAGAAAAUAAAUAUUAUGUGCAUAUGUGUGUAAUUACAGAGACUGGAAACUCGGAUCGCUCAUUUACAAAGUGCUGUGGACGAGUACUACAAAGCCAAGAAUGAAUUUUCUUCCAAGGUGAAGACCGCAGGCUCUUCUGCUACAGGCAGAUUAGAAGCCUGCGUCAGAGUUCACUGCCUAUGUAGCCACAACAUUAUCACAUCUGUGAAUAAUCUAAAGGAAUUCUUAUUGUUCUCCUCUCUCAGACAACAGAAGAUGAAAUGCGUCUGCUGCGGUUUCAGAGGAAGGUAGAGGAAGAGAAGGGUGAGCAGCUUGUGGGAUUCUCCCUUCAUGACACUAUGACCAUCCUGCUGUCUGUGGGGCUGCAUAAACACACUUGAACAACUUUACAAAGACUUCAGGAUGCCCGACAAGAGGUUCUGGUGGCUGAAGUUAAAGGCUCUGGCUGAGAAGGAGGACUGGGAAGAGCUGGAGAAAUUUUCCAAAAGCAAAAAGUCUCCUAUUGGCUAUCUGCCAUUUGUUGAGGUGUGCAUUAAACACCAUAACAAAUAUGAAGCCAGGAAAUACAUGUCAAAAGUCACACCGGAGCAGAAAGUCAAAGCUCACCUUGCAGUAGGGUAAG